ensembl:snRNA U6 U6 spliceosomal RNA
GUGCUCGCUUCGGCAGCACAUAUACUAAAAUUGGAAUGAUACAGAGAAGAUUAGCAUGGCCCCUGCACAAGGAUGACAUGCAAAUUCAUGAAGCGUUCCAUAUUUUU